CAGCCGCCGCGGUAAUACGAAGGGUGCAAGCGUUAAUCGGAAUUACUGGGCGUAAAGCGUGCGUAGGCGGUUUGUUAAGUCUGCUGUGGAAUCCCCGGGCUCAACCUGGGAAUGGCAGUGGAUACUGGCAAGCUAGAGUGUGUCAGAGGAUGGUGGAAUUCCCGGUGUAGCGGUGAAAUGCGUAGAGAUCUGGAGGAAUACCGAUGGCGAAGGCAGCCAUCUGGCCUAAUACUGACGCUGAGGUACGAAAGCAUGGGGAGCAAACAGGAUUAGAUACCCCUGUAGUCCCUGUCUCUUAUAC
rnacentral:rRNA from 1 species